UUUAGUUGCUAACGGUUCGGCCGAGCACUCUAAAUAGACUGCCUUCGUAAGGAGGAGGAAGGUGUGGACGACGUCAAGUCAUCAUGGCCCUUAUGCCCAGGGCGACACACGUGCUACAAUGGCAUAUACAAUGAGACGCAAUACCGCGAGGUGGAGCAAAUCUAUAAAAUAUGUCCCAGUUCGGAUUGUUCUCUGCAACUCGAGAGCAUGAAGCCGGAAUCGCUAGUAAUCGUAGAUCAGCCAUGCUACGGUGAAUACGUUCCCGGGUCUUGUACUCACCGCCCGUCACACCAUGGGAGUUGAUUUCACUCGAAGCCGGAAUACUAAACUAGUUACCGUCCACAGUGGAAUCAGCGACUGGGGUGAAGUCGUAACAAGGUAACCGUAGGAGAACCUGCGGUUGGAUCACCUCCUUUCUAG
rnacentral:rRNA from 1 species